rnacentral:rRNA from 1 species
AGAGUUUGAUCCUGGCUCAGAACGAACGCUGGCGGCGCGUUUUAAACAUGCAAGUCGAGCGGCAAGAGUACUUCGGUACUCCUAGAGCGGCGGACGGGUGAGUAACACGUGGAUAACCUGCCCCCGGGUGCGGGAUAGCCCAGGGAAACCUGGAUUAAUACCUCGUAAGACCACGCUCUGCAGGGAGAGUGGGAAAAGGCGCUUCGGCGUCGCCUGGGGAUGGGUCCGCGUCCCAUUAGCUAGAUGGUAGGGUAAGAGCCUACCAUGGCGACGAUGGGUAGCCGGCCUGAGAGGGUGAACGGCCACACUGGAACUGAGACACGGUCCAGACUCCUACGGGAGGCAGCAGCUAAGAAUCUUCCGCAAUGGGCGCAAGCCUGACGGAGCGACGCCGCGUGGGCGAGGAAGGCCGCAAGGUUGUAAAGUCCUUUUCGGGAAGGGGAAUAAGAGUGAUAGGCAAUGAUCACUUGAUGACAUGAAUCCCGGAAUAAGCCCCGGCUAACUACGUGCCAGCAGCCGCGGUAACACGUAGGGGGCGAGCGUUGUUCGGAAUCAUUGGGCGUAAAGGUCGCGCAGGCGGCGUGUAAAGUCUGGCGUGGAAGUCCCCGGCUCAACUGGGGGAUUGCGUUGGAAACUGGCACGCUUGAGUACGACAGGGGAUGGCGGAAUUCCAGGUGUAGGGGUGAAAUCUGUAGAUAUCUGGAGGAACACCAAUGGCGAAAGCAGCCAUCUGGAUCAGUACUGACGCUGAGGCGCGAAGGUGCGGGGAGCAAACAGGUUUAGAUACCCUGGUAGUCCGCACAGUAACGAUGUGCACUAGGUGUCGGGCAGUCAAUGUUCGGUACCGCAGCAACGCGUUAAGUGCACCGCCUGGGGAGUAUGCCCGCAAGGUGAAAACUCAAAGGAAUUGACGG